GGUGAACGCUGGCGGCGUGCUUAAGACAUGCAAGUCGAACGGCAGUCUUCGGACUGUAGUGGCGCACGGGUGAGUAACGCGUAACUGACCUACCCCAAAGUCGCGGAUAACGAUUCGAAAGAGUCGCUAAUACGUGAUGUGCUGUCAGAUUGUGUUCUGCCAGUAAAGAUUGCUUGCUUUGGGAUGGGGUUGCGUUCCCUCAGCUGGUUGGUGGGGUAAAGGCCCACCAAGGCGACGACGGAUAGCCGGCCUGAGAGGGUGGCCGGCCACAGGGGCACUGAGACACGGGUCCCACUCCUACGGGAGGCAGCAGUUAGGAAUCUUCCACAAUGGGCGAAAGCCUGAUGGAGCGACGCCGCGUGAGGGAUGAAGGUCUUCGGAUCGUAAACCUCUGAAUCAGGGACGAAAGACACUUCGGUGGGAUGACGGUACCUGAGUAAUAGCACCGGCUAACUCCGUGCCAGCCGCCGCCGUAACAC
rnacentral:rRNA from 1 species